AAGACCUCGAAUCAGGUAGGGAUACCCGCUGAACUUAAGCAUAUCAAUAAGCGGAGGAAAAGAAACCAACCGGGAUUACCUCAGUAACGGCGAGUGAAGCGG
rnacentral:rRNA from 1 species